UACGGAGGAUCCGAGCGUUAUCCGGAUUUAUUGGGCUUAAAGGGUGCGCAGGCGGGAGAUUAAGUCGGCGGUGAAAUUUUGCAGCUCAACUGUAAAAGUGCCUUCGAAACUGGUUUCCUUGAGUGUAGAUGAAGUAGGCGGAAUUUGUGGUGUAGCGGUGAAAUGCAUAGAUAUCACGAGGAACUCCGAUUGCGCAGGCAGCUUACUAAACUACUACUGACGCUCAGGCACGAAGGCGUGGGGAUCAAACAGGAUUAGAUACCCGU
rnacentral:rRNA from 1 species